CCAUGUUCUAGUUUAGAGUUGGCAAAAUAGGUUUAAUCACACCUGCCUCAUUAGGACCUUCAAGCGCACUUUUGCUGGUAUCAUUCAAAUGAUCUCAGUUGUUUGGUAUAAGGUGUUAUUCUUGCUCGUGUAUAAGAGGCAGCACGAAGGAAGAAUGGGUGAAAAACUUUGAACUCCAAAUAACAUUAAAGGACUGAGAAAUAGAACUGGUUGGAGGGUCUGGAUUUCCCUUGUGGUUUGGCUUUCAAAUCCAGAAUUCUGAUGUCUGAGAGAUGGCAUAAAUCAAAGCCAUCCAUCAGAUUACAGACAACUCUGAAUAUCAAAUAGGUUAUUGUUUAAAGAAAAAUUAAAAGAAGUAAGAACAAAAGAAAGCUGCCCGUUAAAUCCUGCAAGUGGUUAAAAAUGGUCAUUAGGAACAUUUGCAAAUGUGUAGCUUAGCUUAAGUUAGAUGGACAUAAUUUUGAUUAGGCCGUGAUUUUUUUUUUUUUAAAUACAUUACAGGCUGGCUAUGAAUAGUAAUGUUUUCAUUUUUUAAAUACAUUGAGUCUCUCAGCAUCGGUCUUCUCCUGCCGUAUUUUGAUCUUUGGAGUAUGCAUAAGGAUGGAAAAAUAAAGAAAGACAGAAAAAUACAAAGAGUUGUGGGACACACUGCAAAGAGGGAGAAAAUAGAACCUCUGGGAUUCUUCUUUUUCCCUACAAAGUGUUAUGGAUGAAGGCUAUGGAGAAAAUCUUCCCGGCCGGAUGCUGUCUACAGCAUGGGUUUCCCUGGUUCAGAGUUGCACCUCCCACCAGUUGUGUGACCUUCAGGCUAUGGGUGAGUCUGUGAUGACUUUCUUCCAUCUACCCAAAAGCUCCAUCCCUAAUGCGUAAAGUCUUCCCAGUGAUAAAGAAUAUCCAAGCUCGGAUGGAGAAACAGAUACUUUGCUAUGAAAGAUUCAACGCAAUUGCAAUUUUUUUUGACAAAUGGAGUUUUUCUGAUCUUCCUGGGAGUUGUAAUGGCCAUGGCUGGUCUGAGUCCUCAGUGUUAU
rnacentral:lncRNA from 1 species